GCGGACUGGCCAUCGGGAGUUCCGGGAGCAAUCCCGAACGGCCGGUCCAUUUCAGGCCGAACCGGCCGGAGGUCAAAAAGUUUUUUUUUUUUUUUAAUGCCUGACCAGGCGCUCAGCUGCAGCGGAACGCUGUGUCUGUUUCAGACCGGGCCAAACCAAUUCUUCAAAUCUUGAGGGGGGAUAAGAGCGGCCCCUCCCAACUUGGACUGAUCCUCGUUUUUCCUCACAUCCGAUUGGCUCAAAGGCGCCGAUCAAAAGAGGCAGCUAAAUGCGCCAAAUUUAACAGACCUUUUUCGCAUCGCAGUCAAAAGGACGCUGUGGCAGGAGGUGCAGAUGAGGAAGGACCAGCAGCAUGGACAGGACAGCUGUUAAGGUCACUGAUGGAGAGAGACAGGUUGAUGAUGACCCUUGCAGUCAUAUUGAUGAGGAGGAGGAAGGAAAGCAGAACAAGAGGAGGAGGAGAAUGGAACCAGUACAAAAACAGUGAUGGCUGUACAAUCAGUAAGCAGAGGCAGGGUCCAGCACAGGGGAAGUGGAGCCAGGGAGAGUUGAAAGUGAGUACGUACACACACAAUCUCUAUUUUAUGGGACUGUAUUGUAGUUUUUGAUUAUCUGAGUGGGUAUGUGUGAGUAAUUGUAACAAUUUUAUCACUCCAACUGACUGUACACAUGACAUGCUGGUAGUUAGCAGUAUACUGUGACUUAUGUGUUCGAGAUUAGGUUUUGCUGACCUGGUUGUGUUUAGUGCAGUGGUGACUUGCUUAUACAACCUGAGGAGGCAGGUGUUAUCCUAAAGUUUCUUUACGGUCUUCAGCAUAAUCUGAUUCUCUUCAUACCAUAAAAACACUACUACGGUAGAAUUAAAAUAACUGCAAAAAAUCCUGCUCGUGCACCAAGGGCACUCGCGUAAAAGGCCUCUCCAUCUUAAAGUCCCGGGCUGAAUUUCAGUCCCAGUACG